CAUCUAUUAGCUUAAUGGUAAGGCGGUGUAUUAAUUUAAUAUAUAAAUUACAGUUCGAAUCUGUAAUAGGUGG
rnacentral:tRNA from 1 species